AUUGAACGCUGGCGGCAUGCUUUACACAUGCAAGUCGAACGGUAACAGGCCGCAAGGUGCUGACGAGUGGCGAACGGGUGAGUAAUGCAUCGGAACGUGCCCAGUCGUGGGGGAUAACGCAGCGAAAGCUGCGCUAGUACCGCAUACGAUCUAUGGAUGAAAGCGGGGGACCGUAAGGCCUCGCGCGAUUGGAGCGGCCGAUGUCAGAUUAGGUAGUUGGUGGGGUAAAGGCUCACCAAGCCAACGAUCUGUAGCUGGUCUGAGAGGACGACCAGCCAAACUGGGACUGAGACACGGCCCAGACUCCUACGGGAGGCAGCAGUGGGGAAUUUUGGACAAUGGGCGCAAGCCUGAUCCAGCAAUGCCGCGUGCAGGAAGUAGGCCUUCGGGUUGUAAACUGCUUUUGUACGGAACGAAACGGUCCUGGUUAAUACCUGGGGCUAAUGACGGUACCGUAAGAAUAAGCACCGGCUAACUACGUGCCAGCAGCCGCCGUAACAC
rnacentral:rRNA from 1 species